rnacentral:lncRNA from 1 species
GUGAUGAAUUUAAUUUUUUUUUGAAAGUUGGAUGAUAUUGACCAUAGACAAACCAGAAAAUAUCGAGUUUCAUUUUUGGUGUAUGAUACUUACCGUAGACUUAACAAAAAAUACCAAAUUUUAUUAAUGCAGACUCGAAUCUUUUAUGAUUACCUACGUACCCGGAUCUCGGAACCAUGAUUACCUACGUACCCGGAUCUCGUAACCAAAGUCAGCGUAGUUCAACAUUGAUAAAUUUAGUCUGGUUUUGUAUUUCAUUAACACCCUGGUGCACGAGUUGAAUACUUUUGAAAGUUUG